rnacentral:rRNA from 1 species
GCAAGUCGGACGGGAUUGAGGAGCUUGCUCUUCAUGAGAGUGGCGCACGGGUGCGUAACACGUAUGUAACCUACCCAUAUCAGGGGGAUAGCCUCUCGAAAGAGAGAUUAAGCCCGCAUAAAAUCACACUGUGGCAUCACAGAAUGAUCAAAUAUUUAUAGGAUAUGGAUGGGCAUGCGGAACAUUAGCUAGUUGGCGAGGUAACGGCUCACCAAGGCUACGAUGUUUAGGGGAUCUGAGAGGAUGACCCCCCACACUGGUACUGAGACACGGACCAGACUCCUACGGGAGGCAGCAGUAAGGAAUAUUGGUCAAUGGACGGAAGUCUGAACCAGCCAUGCCGCGUGCAGGAAGACGGCCCUACGGGUUGUAAACUGCUUUUGUACCGGAAUAAACCCCCGAUCGUGAUCGGGGCUGAAUGUACGGUAAGAAUAAGGAUCGGCUAACUCCGUGCCAGCAGCCGCGGUAAUACGGAGGAUCCGAGCGUUAUCCGGAUUUAUUGGGUUUAAAGGGUGCGUAGGCGGCCUAUUAAGUCAGGGGUGAAAGACGGUAGCUUAACUAUCGCAGUGCCUUUGAUACUGAUAGGCUUGAAUGUACUUGAGGUAGGCGGAAUGUGACAAGUAGCGGUGAAAUGCAUAGAUAUGUCACAGAACACCAAUUGCGAAGGCAGCUUACUAAAGUAUGAUUGACGCUGAGGCACGAAAGCGUGGGGAUCA